ensembl:lncRNA
CGAUGAUGUCACAGAUUCUGUGUUUGAGCUUAAAGACAUUGAUGGCUAAUGUGAAUACUUCUAUAAGGGAACAAGCUGCAGUAGUUGAGAUGCUUUUGUAGGCCAGCAGAGCUUUAAUAAAGGAGAACAAAGUGUCUCUUCAUGCAUUCAUCUGAUCCUUCUAACAGGGACGAAUGAUGAACCAGAGGAGAGCGAUUACCAAAAUGUGACGAUUACAACAGACCAUGUAGUACAAUAUGAAUAAAACAUCUGCAUGGACAGAACCAGGGGAACGGAUGACGACAUGAAAAACCACAUCUUUGUCUUUUUGAGUAAUUAUUGUGUGAACUUCUUCUUUCCUGAUAUGAGACAGUGUUUUGUAGUUAACCCAUGAAAAGAUCAUUUAAAGGAUCAUGUGUCUUCAAAGGUUUUACUUUUAAUGUUGGUAUUGAGUGUUUACUGUACAUUUAAUUUUUUUUCUGUAGAAAACUUUGAAUGGAGGCUGGUUUGAAAAGCAGUUUGACGUCUUUAAGCUUCAGUGCUAUUAUUCAAUAUGAAGUAAUCUCUGAUUUAAAAAAAAAAGGUACACAUUUAUUACACUUUUAAUCUGUUAUUGAACACAUUUCCAACAUUUUUUUAUUUGUCUGUUUUUUUAAAAAGGUUGCCGUUUGUAUUUUACAGUCACCGGUUUGUGCUUAAUACAUUUUGUAAUUUUUGAUCAUUUUAUGCAUCAAUAAACUUUGACCUGCUCAUCUAAUUAAACACGAAUAGAUCACAGCAAUCACAUCCAUCUAUUGAUGAAUGGAGUAUAAAAAGGUAAAUGGAGGUAAC